rnacentral:lncRNA from 1 species
GAGCAACAGGAACAACGCAGGGAGACUCAUCUCCCAUCAUGCACAAAGCAUCUAGAACAGGCAUUAGCACCAUCCUAGCAGCCUGAAGAAAAUCCAUGCCCAAGAUAACUUGAAAGUCAUCUAGGGGUACGGCCAUGAAAUUGGCCUUUCCACCCCAAGUUCCAACCUAAAUAAGCACAUCCCUUGCAAGCCCAACAAUGGGCCAUGCUUCAGAGUUCACCGCCUUCAUUCGACUGGAGUUCCUCUCCAACUUCAACCCA